rnacentral:snoRNA from 1 species
UCUGCCCCUAGAGAUGUUGCAGGCGUGGGUGCUGCAUCACAUGGGUGGCAGGAGGUGGCAGACAGGAGAGAGGUCAUGUCUGACCUAUAGGUCAGAGUAGUCUGACCUAUAAACAUCUGAAUGAUUAGCAGCCUAACAGU